ACAGCCAUAUCACAUUGAAGCAACGGUUCCUGUACGAUCACCGAAAUUAAGCAACGUCAAGCCUGCUCAAUACCAAGAUGGGUGACUGCUUGGGAAUACUAGGUGA